AACGAACGCUGGCGGCAUGCCUAACACAUGCAAGUCGAACGAGACCUUCGGGUCUAGUGGCGCACGGGUGCGUAACGCGUGGGAACCUGCCCUUAGGUUCGGAAUAACUCCCCGAAAGGGGUGCUAAUACCGGAUAAUGUCUUCGGACCAAAGAUUUAUCGCCUUUGGAUGGGCCCGCGUUGGAUUAGCUAGUUGGUAGGGUAAAAGCCUACCAAGGCGACGAUCCAUAGCUGGUCUGAGAGGAUGAUCAGCCACACUGGGACUGAGACACGGCCCAGACUCGUACGGGAGGCAGCAGUGGGGAAUAUUGGACAAUGGGCGAAAGCCUGAUCCAGCAAUGCCGCGUGAGUGAUGAAGGCCUUAGGGUUGUAAAGCUCUUUUACCCGGGAUGAUAAUGACAGUACCCGGAGAAUAAGCUCCGGCUAACUCCGUG
rnacentral:rRNA from 1 species